rnacentral:rRNA from 1 species
CUAUCGAGUGUCGAUUAAGCCAUGCGAGUCGAGAGUGUGUAAUGACCUCGCGCAGACUGUUCAUUAACACUUGGGUAACCUGCCUUAGGGUCCGGGAUAACCCCGGGAAACUGGGGAUAUUACCGGAUGGGUCACCAUUGCUGGAAUGCUUGGUGGUCGAAAGGUGACGCCUUUGGAUGGGUCUGCGGCGGAUUAGGUUGACGCCGGUGUAACGUACCGGCGUGCCUGUAAUCCGUACGGGUUGUGGGAGCAAGAGCCCGGAGAUGGAUUCUGAGACACGAAUCCAGGCCCUACGGGGCGCAGCAGGCGCGAAAACUCUACAAUGCUGCAACUGCGAUAGGGGGGACAUCGAGUGGCAUCCACCUUGGGUGUCUGUCCAACCGUCUAAAAAACGGUUGUUAGCAAGGGCCGGGCAAGACCGGUGCCAGCCGCCGCGGUAAUACCGGCGGCUCGAGUGGUGGCCGAUAUUAUUGAGUCUAAAGGGUCUGUAGCCGGCUUUGAUAAGUCCCCUGGGAAAUCUGGCGGCUUAACUGUUGGGCUUUCAUGGAGAUACUACAUUGCUUGGGACUGGGAGAGGUAAGAGGUACUUCGGGGGUAGGGGU